CAAUAGCGUAUAUUAACGUUGUUGCAGUUAAAAAGCUCGUAGUUGGAUUUCUGGAGGGAGCGUCGGCCCGUAUUUACGAGUGCGUGACGUCUCUGUCCAUCCUUGCGGGAAGGCACGGCAUUGAUUUGUUGUGUCGGAUCGCAUCAUUUACUGUGAAAAAAUUAGAGUGUUCAAAGCAGGCUUUCGCUUGAAUACAUUAGCAUGGAAUAAUAAGAUAGGACUUUGGUGCUAUUUUGUUGGUUGAGCCUAAAGUAAUGAUUAAUAGGGAUAGUUGGGGGCACCUGUAUUGCGUUGUCAGAGGUGAAAUUCUUGGAUUUUCGCAAGACAAACAGCUGCGAAAGCGUCUGCCAAGGAUGUUUUCAUUAA
rnacentral:rRNA from 1 species